GAUGAACGCUGGCGGCGUGCCUAAUACAUGCAAGUCGAACGGGGAGUCGCAAUACUCUUAGUGGCGAACGGGUGAGUAACGCGUUGGUACCUGCCCCGAAGCGGGGGAUAACGGACCGAAAGGUUCGCUAAUACCCCAUGUGCUCGGUAACGAGUAAAGGUGAAAACCACGUUGGGAGGGGCCUGCGGCCCAUCAGCUAGUUGGUAAGGUAACGGCUUACCAAGGCGAUGACGGGUAGGGGACCUGAGAGGGUGGCCCCCCACAAUGGAACUGAAACACGGUCCAUACACCUACGGGUGGCAGCAGUAGGGAAUAUUGGUAAUGGGCGCAAGCCUGAACCAGCAACGCCGCGUGUGCGAUGACGGCCUUGGGGUUGUAAAGCACUUUUGACUGGGACGAGGAAGGACGGUACCGGUCGAAUCAGCCUCGGCUAACUACGUG
rnacentral:rRNA from 1 species